rnacentral:sRNA from 1 species
AGGCGCGGCGAGGCGGGUGGCGCGCGGCAGCAGGGUUGGGCUCUCGCCGUGAGUCGACGAAGGGAGCGCGGGCGCGCGCCCGCGUCCGCGCACUGAGAGUCGCCUCGGCCGCUCGCUUUCUCGACUCCCGCCUCGCGCCUCGAUCCUGUUCCGCCUCCCUCGGCCCUCCUGCCCGCCCCCACUCGUCGGCCCUCAGGUACCUAAAAUGUCUCAUUAUUCAUCAAUUAAUGAAAAACAAAUGAAAAUUUGAGAGAGAUAUUCUGAAGAAUAAAAGGAUCAAGUUGGGUCAUUUCUAAAAUCUCAGAGACCUAAUAGGAUGGGGUCUUAGAGAAACAUCUUUUGAGCCACAGACUUCUUUGUUACCAGAAGGAAAAUGAAAGAAGAAAUUUAAAUACCACUUGAAGAGAGGUGAGAACCCUUUGUUAAGCUGUGUAACCUCUGUGCAUAGUUUCCUCAUCAGCAAAGUCAGAAAAAGUAUGUACCUGAAGGACUGAUUGUAAGGCUGGGAUGAGAGAAUCCAUGUGAUCAGCCCUCACCAACAGGUGCUGCCCAGUUCAUGAGUGCUGCUGCUGUCCUGCCCAAGUACCCAGCUUGCAGAGUGCCAGAGUUAGAGUCCCAGGGGUGUUCUCCACAGCUGCAUGCUUGAUCCAGGCCUAUCAGAUAUAUUCCAUUGAAAGUCCUCAUUCUCAAAUUUAAAACAAAGACUUUUUGUGUACCUCAAUAGCAAUGCACACACAGUUGGCUUCACAAACAUAUUGUACAUUUCUUUUUUUCAUAUUUAUUCAACAAAUGUAUAUUGACUACCCACCAUGUGACAGGUGUUAUUUGUUGGCGGAACCAGGCAUCAUCAGCAAACAAAACUGACAAAGCUUCCUGCCCUCUGUGGAAGGCAUCUGAGGAAGAGACUGGAUUUUGUAGCAACAUGUUAUUCUCAUUAUAAACUUUAUCAUUGGAAUACUAAAGCCAAAUCAUCCCCCAUCUCCUUGAUCAGGAUACCCACUUAAUCUAGGCAGCUACACAAUUGUGAGAGCCUUUGUUUUUUUCUGCUGAAACAUCCUUAAAAAGAUACCUCACAACCCAAGAUUUGGCUUUUCUUAAAUACGAUUUUUAAUUUUUUUCAUUUCUAUCUAGAGAUUUAAUUGGAAAUGGAAAAUCAUCAAUUUUCCAAUUAAAUGUCUGUUCCAAUCAACAUUAUACCUUUUAGGUUGUCAUUGUCAUUUUUAAGUUUAAGCAACUUUAAGGAUUUUGAAUCUGGCUGCCUGUAAAUUAAAGGUGAAAGUAAUCAUUGUGUUGGAUUGGUACAUUUUGUCAAUUGAGAGUGGUUUCCUUGUUCUUAGUGUAUGAAAAGUUUAUUUUUCUAAUGUAGAUUAAUAAAGGAGAUAAAGAAAAACAAAA